AUUGAACGCUGGCGGCAGGCUUAACACAUGCAAGUCGAGCGGGGAAGGGUAGCUUGCUACCUAACCUAGCGGCGGACGGGUGAGUAAUGCUUAGGAAUCUGCCUAUUAGUGGGGGACAACAUUCCGAAAGGGAUGCUAAUACCGCAUACGCCCUACGGGGGAAAGCAGGGGAUCUUCGGACCUUGCGCUAAUGGAUGAGCCUAAGUCGGAUUAGCUAGUUGGUGGGGUAAAGGCCUACCAAGGCGACGAUCUGUAGCGGGUCUGAGAGGAUGAUCCGCCACACUGGGACUGAGACACGGCCCAGACUCCUACGGGAGGCAGCAGUGGGGAAUAUUGGACAAUGGGCGGAAGCCUGAUCCAGCCAUGCCGCGUGUGUGAAGAAGGCCUUUUGGUUGUAAAGCACUUUAAGCGAGGAGGAGGCUCUUAAGGUUAAUACCCUUGAUGAGUGGACGUUACUCGCAGAAUAAGCACCGGCUAACUCUGUGCCAGCAGCCGCAGUAAAAC
rnacentral:rRNA from 1 species